AGUGAACGCUGGCGGCGUGCUUAACACAUGCAAGUCGAACGAGAACGGGAUAUAGCUUGCUAUAUUUGUCAGCUAAGUGGCGCACGGGUGAGUAAUGUAUAGAUAACCUGCCCUCUAGAAAGGAAUAACAGUUGGAAACGACUGCUAAUGCCCUAUAUGCCUUUAAUACAUAAGUAUGCAAGGGAAACGCUUUAGUGCUAGAGGAUGGGUCUGUAGGGUACCAGCUUGUUGGUGAGGUAAUGGCUCACAAAGGCUAUGACGCCUAACUGGUUUGAGAGGAUGAUCAGUCACACUGGAACUGAGACACGGACCAGACUCCUACGGGAGGCAGCAGUGGGGAAUAUUGCACAAUGGACGAAAGUCUGAUGCAGCAACGCCGCGUGGAGGAUGACACAUUUCGGUGCGUAAACUCCUUUUAUAUAGGAAGAUAAUGACGGUACUAUAUGAAUAAGCACCGGCUAACUCCGUGCCAGCAGCCGCAGUAA
rnacentral:rRNA from 1 species